GCGCCCUUAGUUCAGUUGGACAGAACAACGGCCUUCUAAGCCGUAGAUCACUGGUUCGAGCCCAGUAGGGCGUG
rnacentral:tRNA from 1 species